UACAGAGGUGGCAAGCGUUGUUCGGAAUUACUGGGCGUAAAGGGCGCGUAGGCGGUCUUGCAAGUCCUGUGUGAAAUCCCUCGGCUCAACUGAGGAACUGCACAGGAAACUGCUUGGCUUGAGUUCGGGAGAGGGAAGCGGAAUUCCGGGUGUAGCGGUGAAAUGCGUAGAGAUGUGGAGGAAUACCGAUGGCGAAGGCAAUCCCCUGGGCCUGCACUGACGCUCAUGCACGAAAGCGUGGGGAGCAAACAGG
rnacentral:rRNA from 1 species